rfam:Firmicutes bacterium CAG:24 genomic scaffold, scf330
UGCAGAGUAGGUUUGUAUGCGUUAAGUGCCGGCAGGACAGAGAGUUGCCUGUUGGACGAAAAGCCGGUUCGGCUUGCGGUAUACAGACCGCAUCUCGCUGCA